AAUCUUCCACUUGGACCUCCUCAGCUAUAGAUUUCCUCUCUCGUCUCAUGAUCAGAUCAAAUUUACAGGCUCACUACUUAAUAAAUGGGGCUGCUGUCUAGAACAGGCACUGGCAAAAUGCAUCAGAUCCAAAUGUAAUUUUGUUGUUGUUGCUUUUUUUCCCUAGCCACCAGACCACCAGGGAUCAAAUGCGAUUUUGAAUAAGCCUCUUGUUCAAACUCUAUGGAUCCAGGUUUUUCAUCUGUAAAGUGGAAGUAAUGACGCUGAUAUCUCCCAGUUGUUGUUAUGAGAAGGAGUUACUCUUUGAUUCUGACUGGAAACACCGAGGUCAAAAGAAAACUUGGUCCAAACCCUGAGGCUAUGGCUGGGAAAUAACUGAGUGGUAAUCAUAUUCCGUAGGAAACAAUG
rnacentral:lncRNA from 13 species